UGUCCUGGAAGAAGCGCUGGUGGCCUAGCGGUGAGAGCGUGCGACUUGCAAUCUGGAGGUCGCGGGCUCAAACCCCGGCUCUUUUUCGGAACUUAUGUACGAAAUAUCAUUUGAUAUUCACCAGUCGCUUUUCGGUGAAGGAAAACAUCGUGAGGAAACCGGACUAAUCCCAAUAAGGCCUAGUUUACCCUCUGGGUU